UUAUACAUUGCCCUGAUUAAUUUGAAGUAAAGAUGUAACAAUUAUAGCACCUCACCAAUAAAUAUUGUCUAAAUUUACAAUAUUUUGUAUUUUGGUAUGUUGUACAAGUGUUUACAUAUAUUUGAAUGUUUAUUUUGAUUUUGUCGAUAAAAUGAUUCUUUUUGAGCUUUUUUAAGCACACCGAAUUUAUAACCUAUAUAUGGUAUCUUAUAUGGUAAGAUAGUUUUCAAGUAGUUUUUGAGUAAAAUUCAGAAAUACAAAUUUUAAAGCGAAGAAAUCUGUUUUAAAAAUUAUGCAUGUAUAAAAUUUGUGCAUAGCGUACGAUUUACUUCGACGCCAUUUUAAGUAUGUUCAAUUAUGCAUAAUUGAAGUAUGAUUUGAAUCGAUGGUUGUAUACAGAUGCACGUGGUAAUUAUUUUAAUAGAUCAAGGAAGCAACUCACAUUUACUUCACUCAGAAAAUUAUGGAGUAUUUUUUGAAAAAGCAAUCUUAUUAGUUGUAUAAAAGCAUAAUGUUUUCAAGUUGCCGCUACUAGUGACACCAUGAGAUCAACGUUUUUAGUGAACGGUCGGCAAAGUCGUUAUCGUUAUAUUAUUGAUCUGCAGUGAAACUAAACAGGGCAGCCCCCUAACUUUAUAGGUUUUUAUAUAUGCCCGCGUGAAACCGCUUCUUGGACUUGAUCACGUGGUGCAGCAUAUGUAUUGGAAUUGUGGUGUUUCGGUUAGCGCUUGUUCAAAUGUUGGUUACAAAAUAUGCAAUUUCUUUGGAUAUGUGUACAACGACUUUCAUGAAACGCGCUUUUUCUAACAGCAAUAGUUUCCUUUAUUGCAAAUAUUUAAACAAUUAACGGUAGGGCUACGAUAUGUUGCAAGCAUGUGACAGUCACAGAAGAAGAAGAUCGAUCCUCGGUAAUAUCGAUGAAAUAUUCGAGCUCAAGGAGUUGCUUCUGAAACUUCGGACGAUUUGGAUGUGUUCUGAUGUACAGACUGUGGUCCAAUCUACAGAUAUAUAUUGGGUUGGCAUCAUUAGGUGGUAAUGACAAAAAGUCCGCAAUCGCUUAGUCGCCAACGCAAUAAAUAUGUCUCGAUACUUAUAUAUUAUACAGAAAGCAUAGAAGAAACCCUCUAAAAAUUGAGUCGCGAGAAGUUAACAUGGAAGACAUCGAAGUCCUUGUUCUUGCGGGACAUGCUAUAAUUGUCUCAGACAGAGACUGACACACUUUACUAAUCUCUGUCCGUCAUGCAAGAAGAAGAACUUUGAUGUCAUACAUGUUGAUAUUUCACAACUCAAUUUUCGGACGAUUCUACGUAGCAGAUAUCGAGACUUUAUAAGACCGUGUCGAUUGGGCCACGAUCGUACACACACGUCUGGGAACUCCUAUGAAAGGGGUGAGGCUUUUAGCGACCGAUGAAUAUUGUUCAAUUUAACCGCAGUAAGGCGCUUUGAUUGAUUGCUUAGGAUUUUUUGUGUAACGCUAUCGUGCAAAAAUAACCCAGACCUGGGUCGUAUCUGCCCCUUUCUCCCUCUCUCUCUCUCUCUCCCCUUAAUACGGCCUUGGACUCGACUCACGGUGGACCGACGAGUAGCAUGGGAGGUGGAAGGAGGAAACAAGAUCACGAUAAUGAUUUUAGAGACCAAUUUUUGUUUUAUAUGAUUAUUAUGAUUACUUUACUAUUACUUUGUAUUUAACUAAUGUCAAAUAAAUGUUAUGUAACAUAAA